GGGGGGGGUUGGUGGCCCUAACCCCUGUGUUGUUCGAGGGUCAACUAUAUAAUUGGACCACAGGUUUCUUCCAUGUUGCUGAUUGCAAAUGACUGCUAUGGUAUUUUCCACUCUGUGCUGUUUCAUUAAAGAAAAAGAAAAUUAAAAAGAUUUUCACCUUUAAUAAUAACAUCUUCUCUUAUUAAACACUUAAAAUAUUUUAAAGUACAUUUUCUUGCAUUUGCUUUAUCACUUAGCAGGGGUUAAGCCCAAUAUCAGGGUCUAUGAUAACUGAAACUACUCACAUGGUUUUCAAAGACCAUAAACAUAGGUAGAACAAAAAGGCAGUAUUUACCACUGCACAAUUUUAGUAUGAACCAAGUGCCUUUGCAAGAAUUAUGCUAGUUUCCAAACAAAAUCUCAGUGGAACCCAUAUUUUUCCUACCACUUAUAUAACAUGAUAUAUGCUUCUAUUCCCAAUUUAGUUUUGGCAAAACCAGUAAAAAUAAAAUGAAUUUGAGGAUAAGUUUACAAAUAAAUGUGUAUUUUUUCUUUUAUUUUCUACAUGGUAAUAUCCCUUAAUGGUUUUUACUUUGCACAGAAGAGCAGUCAAGGUCUUGCCUGCAGACACCGCAGAAACUAUAUGUGCCUCUACCUAAAGCUGAUGCUCAGAAAGGACUGAAAAUAAUUGCUGGACGCAGAGAUACAACUAACAGAGAAAAGUACUUCUUAGUACACAUUGGGGGAGAUAAGUGCCUCUUCAUGUGAAGGUAAUACUCUUUGGGGUGUUACAGGAUGAAUAAUAGCCAAAGUCAACACUUUCAAUAGAGAAGAAUGUGCCUUUUAGCAGCGGAAGAAACAAGAUCCUCAUUUGCUGACUAGUGAUAUAUGACAGACAGAAGCUGCCUAAGGUCUUACAGGUUUGCCUGGCUUCAAACUCCAAUUUCCUCCCAUAUGCUAUAGAAGUGACCACAAAAGUACAUAGUAAUAGCCACAUUUUUUAUCUAGGGCCUACCACAUGACAAAUUCUAUUCUAUAUUAUCCCUAAUCCUCACAAAGACACUGUAAAGUUGUUAUUUCUGAUCUUCUGCCUAGUAGUUGAGGAAACUAAUGAUAAAAUGUCUGGAACUCCCAUGUUUAAGCUAAUUGCCUCUAAAUCCCUUCAUUUUACCAAUGUUUGUCUUAUUUCAUUCUAAACUCAUUUUACCCUUUUCAGCUUUGCUAUGGUAGUCUGAAAUGAUCCCAGUUCCCCUCUUUUCUAUAUCCAUGGUCCUUUGGAUUGUGGCUUCCCAAUCAAAAUAUAGAGUCUUUUUCUCCCUUUUUAUGUCUGGGAUUGUCUAUGUGACUUACUUUGGCCAAUGAGACAUAACAAACAUGAUACAAGCAGAGUCUUGAAAAAUACUUGAUCUUUGGGAUUUGUCUGCCUAUUGUUGGGAAUCCUGUCAUAAUGAGAAUGAGCCUGUGCUAGACUGCUUGGUGAUGACAGCCAUACGGCUAUCAUCCCAGAUGACAUUAAGGUGACUAUCAAGCAUGUGACUGAGUUCCUUCCCCUAUAAAACCAACCAACUUGCUAGCUCCUAAACAUCUAACUUCAGCCAAGUUAGCACACACACAACUCAAAUAAGUGUGAGAACUAUAAUAAAUGUUUCCUGUUUUAAACUACUA